CGACGACUGAUACAUUACGGAGACAUGCAUUAUGCGCCCCCUUACGCUGCGACGAUGGACCCCUGACGCUAUGUCCGUGAUGAAUGAUCACUGACGUGUGUUAUUAGCAACCACAUCACGUCGUGCGAUAACGUUAAUAACGUCAGAGGAACCACUUCAUCCCUUACGCCGACGAGAGGCCAGCAUAUUUCUUGGCCCACAAGAUAUGCCCGUACGGCAGGACGUGGCACACCGGCGGGCCGCCGGGCUUGGUGCCGAGGAACCUGAAGGCGACGUGAUCCUUGUCCCACUCCGACGUGUCGGUGUGGCAGACGGAGAACAAGGUGACCUUGUCACCACCGGCGCCCUCCAUCUCCACCUUGUACGCCCGGGCCGGGCCGGUGCUGUGGCACAUGUACACGGUGUAUGGGUACUCCUUCUGGUGGCACCCCACGAAGCUGGAGCCCCGGACGGGUCGCACAGCACGGAUGGUGUACGGCUGCAGCGGCGACCCGGCGCGGGGCACCCUGGAGAUCAUCUCGGUGAUGCUCCUGGUGCCGAGCACCCCCUGGGCACCCUCGACCAGGGCCUCCAGUGAGGUGGCGCAGAACUUGGCCUCCCACUCGAGGCCCGGGUCCUCGCACAUGCCCAGGGUCUCCUCCAUCUUGGCCGCCUGGGCAGAGCCCUCGGUGACGUUGAACUGGGCGAGGAUGCCCGGGAGGGCGGAGGAGGAGAAGGGGAUGGCGUCGGCGACGUGGCGGGGGAGGAAGCCGAGCGGGGUGGUCACUGCCGCAGGGAACCGGAAGGGCAGGCUCUGGCGGACGCGCAGGGCCUCCUCGCGGAAGAAGACGGCCAUCUUGGUGUCGACGAGCUCCUCGGUGACGCGUGCAGCGACGGAGGAAGCUGGAAGGGUGUACUUGGUGUAGUAGAAAGCAUGGCUCUGCUGUCCAACCUGAAACAAUGUGACGUACAGAGAUAUUGAGUUUGCCCGUGCUUGUUCGUACACAGAAAGUCAGAAAAGAUGCGUGCAGCAGGUGUGUGUUAGUGGACGCUUACCGCGAACAGGACGAGGAGAGCAGUGAGCAUCGGUACGCGCGCCAUUGGAGCUAAUGGCCAGAAGAAGGAAGAAUCCCGUUCCUGUGUUGGAAUGAGGAGGCGUCCAGGAAGAGGGUUGUAAUUAUAGGAGUCGUCGAUGAAAGUUAAACUGGAGUCAUCAUCUCUUCUUUCUGUGUGUAUAAUGUUGAGAUAUCUUUGAAGUCUGAUUGGCCGUUGUCAUCAUGUAUCCUUGGUGGCCUUGAUGGGCAAUGUUUGAUUGGUGCAAUAUUUUUCUAGCAUAUUUUGUACAGAUUUGUCAAGUCGUUGGGCUGUCGUUCUCGACUUCUCGGUAGUAUAGCUGUCCAUGUGUUGCACGAGAUUGCGAAAUGUCGAGACCGCUUGAUAGUCUUAUAUCAAACUUAUCAUCAGCUACUAGUAUUACGUACAAUUAUUGCAUACUACGUGGUAGUAAGCCCAGCCAUAAGCACCAGUCUUCACCGUCGGUUUGGAUCCAUCGUCUAACUUUCGGUAGUAACGUGGAUACCCCAUCACCGCUGGUUUUGGAACUGGUGGUGAAGGCCUAUUAAAAAAAAUAGCGCUGCCGACCGCCGCACGCCCCGGCCUUGCGCUGCCUCGCCGGAUCCGGCCUGCCGCACCUUGCUAGAUCUGGCCGCUGCCGCCCCGCCGGCCGCCAACUGCCCUGGUCCUGCCGGAUCCGGCUCAGAGAGAGAGGCGUACCGGGGAGAGGAAGCUGAGGCCGCGCCGCCAGGGCCGCCCACCUACGCCACCGCAACCAGCUCCUUCUUCACCGGAUCUGUGCCAGCUCCUUCACUGGAACCUGCACCGCCGCCACCGGAUCUGUGUGCUGCUGCUGCUCUCACCCCGCCGCCGCUCCUCACUGCCGCGAGUGAGGGGUGAGCGAAGGAGGGAGAGGAGGGGCAGCCGAGGGUGAGGAGAGGGAGAUCACACAGGCCGAUGGUGAUCGGCGGAGAGAGGGAGGGGCGACAGUGGGAGAGGAAGGGGUCAGGAGGAGCUGAGGGGGAGGAGAGGGCGGCAAGAGAGGAGGGAGAGAGGGUGGCGGGAGGGUAAUAAAGGGCCUAAUUAGUGUCGGUUGGUCUCCCCAACCGGUACUAAUUUGUUUUUUCCUUUCUUUUCUUAUUUUCUUUUUAUUUAUUCUAUAUUCGUACGUAUACUACUUCUAAUAUCGCUAAUAUAUAUAAAGUUCUAUUUAUCUUCAAUAUUACAUUUAAGAUAUUAUUAUAUAUAUGUACAUAUUGUGCAUACACAUAUAUGAAUAAUAUUAUAUAUAUAUAUAUAGACAUAUUGUGCACACACAUAUCACAUCUACUAUUCUGAACCCGAGUCGUGCCGGUGUUGUAGAUUUGAUGCAUUAUUAUAAAACCCCCCCGCUGGAUUUAUGACCUCGUCUAGAAGAAAUCCACUUGAAGAUUCUAUCCUUUCUGUACAUCAUCUGUCUCAUUGGCAAAGUUUAUUACAUAUAUAGUAGAUCAAUGGGUUUGCACAAUUGAGUUACUUCAAAUAUAAGCAAUUAAAUUGAAAUACUUAAUCUAAUUUUUCUAAGUAUAUACACAAGAAUUGGUUUUUGAAGUAUAAGCAAAUAAAUUGAAAUACUUAAUCUAAUUUUUCUAAGUAUAUGCACAUGAAUUUAUUCUUGAAAUAUAAGCAAAUAAAUUGAAAUACUUAAUCUAAUUUUUCCAAGUAUAUACACAUAAAUUGGUUUUUGAAGUAUAAGCAUAUGAAUUGAUUUUUGAAGUAUAUACACAUGAAUUAAUUUUCUAAGUAGAACUAAUUUAUUGUUGAGAAUUUUGUAUACGUACGGUUAAUUUGUGGUCGGUCAUACGGUUCGGACGUAUAAAGCUGUGGAUGAACUCACAUACGUAGUAUCCGCAUAAAUUAGUACCCGUCUCCUAUCUCGAAUACUAUAUAUAUGGAAAAAAGUUAUGAAAUAUUUGUUGUGUUAAAUAAAGUGUUACGAGAUAUAAAAAUUCAACACAUACCGGGAAUUCACUCUUCCAUUCAAGUUCCUCCUUGAAUUCACCUACAUGAGUUCGACGAAAUCGAGCCCAUGCUUUGUACAUAGCGUAUAUGAUGUGAGUGCAUUCUUGUUUUUUUCCGUCAAAGAAUCGAAGACAUAUACGACACUUAUAUCAGGCACAACAACAAUGAGUAUCCAAUGGAAUCUGUACAACCAAAUUAAAGCUAGUUAGUCUUAUGUUUAACUGCUAGUUCGAAAAUAAAAGAGAUAGAAAACACGCUCACUUGAAGUUGUACACUAGUAGUAUGUACUUCUUGUAAUGUUGCUUGUCGAGGAACUUAUAUAUAUUGUUCAAGGUUCGAUUUGGUUUAUCUCUUAGAUUUGCCUCGUUUAUAACAUCAAGGUCUAUGAAGCCUACGUCAUAGUAUCUGUUCCUCUGACAAGUUUGAAUCUCCAUCCUGCAUGAUACAAAAUCAAAUAUGAGUUAAGACAUCGCAAAUUGACUAGAGUGGGGAUCUUGAAGUUAGAGGAAUAUAUUAAAGACUUACAGAACCCAGCAACUGAUGAGUGUGUUGUCAAGUGCAUCUUGAUUGAACAGGAAAUACAAUUCCUCCAGCAGCACAUUUAUGAUGUCAUCCCCACGAAAAUAAUGUUCAUCACCAAUCCGAACUUCGAUCACGGCAAAACCCUCUGUUGUAGCCUCCAUGUACCAUUGGUGCAACUUACAUCUGUGUUGGGAGACGUUGCACCAACUGCGGCCACACAAGCGGUUUCCCAUACUCAUAUUUCCAUUUAGCAGCCCCAGGGUGCGUUGGGAUGUGAUCCUCCCCUUGAAGUUAAGUUGCGGUCAGAUUUGUAUCUUUAGCGAAUUGCAGCAAGUUCUUGUCAAACUCAGAAAGCAUUUGAGCGAGGCAACCGAUUGGUUGGAUUGGGCUCCAUGUUGAGGAAUAGUUGACCCACUUUUCUUCCUCUUCUUAGAAGCUUGAUUUGUUAUCUGCCUGUCGUAAUCAAAUAGUGGUGGUUUCUCUAGCUGUUUCCUUUGCUCUACCUCCAUGCUUCUGAUGAAAGACCGAAGUUUACGCUUAUCAAGUGGUGGCUCCUGUUUCUAUUUCCGCCUCCAUGCUUCCUUUUGAGCAGCUCCAUGCUUUUUUCUCAGCAUCCACUACUGCCUUUAGUUACUCAUCUAUCAUAUCAUAUGGUAAUUUCUCAGCUGGUUGCUUCUCCUUCUGCUUCUUCUGCAUCUUCUUAGGAGGUGCAGGUGGAAUUGAAGGCUUAUUCAUAGGAGGUGGAGGUGGACUCAUUCUUGAAUCCCUUUCUAGUACUAGACUCAUGCUAGGAUCCAUGUCUGGUAGUGGAGAGGGUGCCCUGGUAGAUGGCGUAGGUGAUCUUGCCCUUGAGCCUUGAGGAGAUGAUCCUAAGGUCGGGGGAUUCGGCUGCGUAAUCCUUAUGUAGCGCUUGGGCCACAAAAUCUAACCAUGGAUAGCUUCUCCUAGAUUCUUUUCCCCGUCACCUCCAGGGAUCUCCAGUUCCAGGUCAUCCCAACCGUUGACCACUCGGUCCACCCUAACUUUGGCGUAACGGUGAGCUGGAACCUCCACGCCAUGAAGUGUUUGGCCUUGCAUCGGUUGCUUAGCCACACCAUAAGCCACCGUGAUGAGCUUGUUUUUCAUGGGAGUAACAAGCUCACAAUGGGCUCUCCCAGUGAUGUCAUCCAUGGGGUGGUGUUGGUUGUCCUCAAGUAUCUCAGAGGAUCCUCUAGCUGGGGCUUCUGUGGAAGCGACACUACUUCGACGCUGAGUCAGGCUUACAUCGACAUGUGUCCCUGAUGCUGCCGCAGCUGCUUGUUCACUGGCUUGUUUGCUCAGAGCUAGCGCCACACGCUGAUCGAUUAUUUCCUCCAUUAUUGCCUCUAAUGCUGCUACUUGUUCUUGUAGCUCUCGCAGCUAUCGUGCGUGGUCGGCCUUACUUCUUUGGCGAUUGCUAUAUGAUUCAAUGUGCUCAUGAAAGGCAAAUUUCCACGGAAUGACUCCUUUGCCUCGACAUCGUCCAGGGUGUUCGGGAUUUCCAUGUGCCAUAGUCAGCUCAUCCCUCUCUCGAUCAGGCACGAAGGAUCCAUCAGCCGUUUUCUUUACUAAGUCAUCAAGUCUCGUAGCUGCUUCUCUUAAUUCAUUGCCGAAUACAAUUGAUCCAUCUUUGGGAUUAAGCCUGCCGCCAUGAGCAUAAAACCAAUUCUUUGCUCGCUCAGGCCAUUCGAGAGUCUGUGGUACUAUUCCCCUGGCAAUUAGGUCAUCUUCCAUCCUUUGCCAUUUCAUGAUCCCCAACUUGUAACCUCCUAUCCCAAGAUGAUGAAAGUUUGCUUCUUGUAAGCAUUGUCGGUGUUGGUCUGAGUUUGCAAUUGGCUCUUUCCGAUUGAUUGAAUUGUACAAAGGAAUCCCAGUGAACCCUUAACUUCGAGUGCUUAUUGAAAUCAGGUGUAAGCCCCUUCUUUGUGUACUCUUUGUUCAAGUUUUUCUUGUACGUUUGAAAAGCAAUUGCAGCCUUCUUGAAGCCCCAUUCUUUCACUUUGUCUGCCUCUACAUCUUCGAACGUGGAGUUAUCUUUUAACUGUUGCCAUUACAUAUUCUUCUCUUGGUCAGGUACGUAAAGGACCGUGCUUGUGGGGACCGGGACCGUGCUUGUUGAAGUGACGUUGCCAGGUUUUUUCCAAUUCUGAAAGCUGAUUGGGAUGUUAUCUCUGACAAGAAAUCCAAUCUGAUUCACCAAUUUUAUCAUAGCAUUGCCAGGAGCAAUCGGUUCACCAUCUUCAACAAUUUCUGUGAUGAUGAUACGGUCCUCUAACUUCUUGUUCUUGCCUCGUUUAUUUUGAGGCCUGCUGCUCGAUCCAGAUGGCUAAAAAAUGAUAAUUUGUUGCAUGAUGAUGUUUCUUUUAAUAAGAAGAGAAUUCAAAUAAUGUUUACCUAUAAUAAUUGUUAUACCUCACCUUGUUGCCCAUCAUUGCCUCCCUCGGCAAUUUGUUGCUCCUCAUUGCCUUCCUCGGCAAUUGGUUGCUCCUUGUUGCCAUCACCAGCCAUGUUGAGGUUGAUGUCAGCUUAGCUGUGAUCGAUCUCUUCAUUUGGUUGAUCGUUUGUGCUGCCUUCAGCAAUCAACUGAAAUAUGAGCUCCUCUGCUGUUCGGGCAUCAUGCUCAUCCUCUGAUCGUGCCAUUUUAACUAGUAUAAUAUAAAAGGAUUUAUUCUAAAAAAUAGUAGGCAACAACAUUAAAAAGAAUGACUACAAAAAGAAUUAAACACUUAUACAAUUUGUAACAAUAAUAAAUAACUAAAAAAGGAUGAUACACUUAUACAACUUGGUAAAAAAAUAAUGACUAUUAUAAUUUAUAAAAGUAUCAAAGUAUUUUUCACUUAUUUCUAGACUUUCUAACAAUUAACAAAUAUUUGUAACAUGGCAUGUCGUACGAUUUACAAUUAAUAAGCUUUUCCAACAAUUUUUCUAUAAUUUCAAACUAAUUCCAGAAUUUUUCUAUAUUCUCUAGCUAAUUCAACAUUUUUCCUACAAUUUCUAGUUAAUUCAUAUACUGCAGAAAUAAAAAGAAUUGAUAACAAAAAUAGAAUGAAACACUUCUACAAUAAAAAAAGAAUUGAUAACAAAAAUAGAAUGAAAUACUUCUACAAUAAUUACAGUCAAUUGCUACAAAAUGACAGCAUCAUAACAAGAUUUUCACGUUUUUUAUUAAUAUUUAAGAAUUAACAGGAUUUUCUAUAAUUUCUAGCUACUUCAAGAAUUUUUCUCUAUUUUCUAGCUACUUAAACAAUUUUCUAAUACUACAAAAAUAAAAAAAUAAAUUGCAUGAUUUCCUACACUUACACAAAUUUCCUACAAAUUUUAUAUAAUUUCCUACAAUUUCUAGAUAAUUUCCUACAAUUUCUAGAUAAUUUCCUACAAUUUCUAGAGCUACAGGAAUAAAAAAAUAAUGACAUCAUGGCCGGCCGCAAGGUUACGUCAGUGGGAAGCAAGCCCGCGGCCGGCCGCAAGUGUGCAUUCGUGCAUGUGAAGGCCGGGGGUGCGUGAAGGCCGGGGGUGCGUGUGGAGGCCGGGGCGCUGAGGGUGGGGGUGGCGCGGACAGAGGCGGUUAGGCGGCGCGGUCAUGGCGGCUCAGACGGAGGCGGCCGGCAACGUACGGCACGGGGCAUGCGGUCGGGGCGGCGCGGUCAGAGAGGCAGCGACGUUUGAGGCACGUGGAGGCCGGGGACGGAGGCUGGGGUGGCGGCGGUGUGGUCGAAGCGGUGCGUUCGGGGCAGAGGCGACGAGGCCAAGGGUCGGGGUUGACGGGACCGGCUGGGGCGACGAGAAUGAUAGGGUCGACGGAGGCGAGGUGGCUAUGGGGCUGGGCACGGCGACGAUGGGAAUGGCGGCGGUGACAAGGGGGUGAUGAGGCAGGACGGCGACGAGGGCGCGACGCUGGCGAACGAGGCGACGAGCACGGAGGCGGCGGCGAUGGAUCGAGGCGAUGAGCACCAAUGCGUGAAAUGGCUAAGUAUUUGGGGAAAAGAAGGUGAGGUGGCUUUAAACCCCCUCCCCCCGUACCAGGCAAAAAAAAUACCCGGUACUAGAGGGGGGCCUUUAGUACCAGGUGUUCCCACCACCUGGUAUUAAAGGACCUCUGCAAACGCGAAACGAAAAAUGGCCCCCUUUAGUACCAGGUGUUCACACCACCCGGUACUAAAGGGGUUGCAUUGUCCUGUUUGAAUUUUUCGCCCAUCUUUUUAUUUUUCUGUGAUAGCUCAAGUAAUUAAGAACCUAAAUCAAAUAAUCAACAGGGUGAUUAAGAAGCAAAUCAAAGCUAACUCAAAAUUGCUAAGAGUUAAGAUCCAAAAACACCUUAGAUUUUGACCCAGGGUCAAAACUCCUUUCUGUUGAUAAUCACUAGUGAGGCCAAUAAAAAUAAAUUUUAUAUAAAAACUAAAUUUUGGCCAAUACAAAAGUGAUAGACCUUUUCAAAUGGAGCAACUUUAAAAAUAUGCACUUUCUUGAUUUGGAAGUGGAAAGACUCCAAAAACUGAGUAGAAGUUCGGUCAAAUUUCAAGUCAAAUCCAAAAACAGCUUUGACCGGCGUCCGCCAAAUUUCCCACAAUCCUAAUUCCAAAUCCUUCAAGUUCCUCAUAUGUCGGCCUUUAUAAAAGGUAUAGUCCACACCUUGAACUCCAACUUUUAUUUUUGGGAAUGCAAGCACACAGUUCAAACUUGGUGAGAAAGUACAUGUUAAACCCGACACCUUUGCAUGAUAUGCAUCACAAGCAUCUUUGUGCAUUAUUGAGCAUCAAGAAUAUCAUUGUGCAUGUUUGAGCAUCAAGAACAUCCUUUUGCGCAUCAUUGAACCUCAUGAGCAUCAUUUGUGCACAUUGGAGCAUUUUAACCUUGCAUUGUUUAAGUGCCCAGAAAUUGAUUGUUUAUUGUUGAAAAACAAAAUUUGUGAAGCAACCCCAAUUUAUUUUAUACAACUGUGCCUCCUAUUAUUUUAUUUAAAUACUAGAUACACUUUAGUGAUUUUACAAUAUUUUUACUAAUUUUUUCAGAAGUGUUUGCUUGUGCUAAAAAUUCAUUUAAAGUUCAAUUUUGGGUAUUUUGUUUUGUCGAUUGCGUGAAAACCAUAAUAGCUUUUGAGUUGAUUCAUGUUGAAUUGUAUUCUUUGUGAUUUACCUUUCCAACAAGUAUUUUUGGGAAAUUUUUGGACAAGUGUAGCUGGUUCAAAUAAGGAGAGAAAGUGGUAGUAGUGAAAAAUCUCAUGGGCCCACACGUCAGUCACCAGCUUCCCCUUUCUUCCUCCUCCCUCAACCGCACACACGCCAGAUGGCCAGCACGGACACCGAAGAUCACCGAUUAGCCACCUUCGGUAUGCCACCAGGGCUUCCCAUCGCCGGUUGGUUGCCCGAGCAUCGCCCAGGUGCUUCCCCCGCCGCGCCACGCCUCUCCUCGCACCCGGUUGGGCAGGAGCCGGACCGAAUGGCAUGGGCACCAGGUGGCCAUCGAACUCUGGCGUCGCCCCUUACUACCAAAGCUGAGCAGCGACGCUGUGGCGUCCUUAUCAUCUUGCCCAUCCUUAUCUUCUCGCGCCCCAGCCCUUAAAUCAGCCCUCUCCCAAGCCUCCUUCCCCUCCUUUUCCUUGCAACAGAAACUUUCCCCAUUGUCGAGCUCCCCAACAUGUCCCUGUUCUCCGACGAAAUCCGCCCAACUCCAGCCACCUCCCUUCAAUAGCUCACGUCCAAAGCUGCUCCACUUCCUUGGCUCCGCCCUCCACCACUUCUCAUCGCCCGCUGUCCACAGAAUCGACGGGAAUCGAAGUUCCCCAAAACUUCUAGGAACUUUUCACUUGCCACUACUGCCUCUCCAUGGUGUCCCAUCUCCCGGCUGCCGUCAUCCUCGUCUAAUGCCUCAAACGGAACCGUGGUGAGCCCCUAAUCGUGAUGCUCGUGUUUGUUUUCCUUGUUGGGUGACUUUCCACGCUCGUUCCCGGCAACAUCAUCGGCCGUUCGUCGUCGCCCAUGGAGCACCUGUGUGCCGCCCCCUUCCUCCCUACCUGCGCUACUCCAGGGAGUCCCUUGGCCCUAGGCAUGGCGCCGCCGCCCCUCCUCCUAGCGCCCUGCUGCGUUUCCCCCUGUCCCGAGCCACGCUAGUGCGCCCAUGCCCAAACCAUGCAUGCCUCUUAUCUGUUUAGGGGCGCAGGGACUUGGUUGGAGAAGAAGGAGAAGUUCCAGGGGGUGUUGCAUAAAAAGUCAGGAUUUAUGUGUGAGGUGGAAUCUGUUCAGGGGCUAGAGUGUGAAACGCAGGGGCUAGAUGGUUAAGAGAAGGGUAGAUCAGAGAAAGGAAUUGUUUUUCCAGGGGGUAGCUUGCAAAGUUGCUAGGUUUUGUUUUGUUUACUAAAGUAAAAAUGUUGCAAACUUUGAAAAUGCAUAGAAAACUGUAGGAAAUUGCUAAAAAUGUGAUUACUAUUUUGUUGGAUUCCUUGUGGUGUCUAGUUUAUUUCAAAAAUGCUUUUGUGCAUGUUGCUAUUUCAUAUUUUGUGCUAUGAUUUAUUUGGUGUGAAAGCCUUUAAAUGCUUUAUAAAUCACAUAGUGCUCUAAAAAUUGUGGAAUCACUUUUGUUAGUUUCCUUAUAACAUGCAUGUUGAGAUCUACAACUUGUGUGAGUAGAAUUCAUGGUGUUCAUAUUGUUUUAGAUUUAAAUGCUUACUUGCUAUGUUAAUCUAGUUAUUUGCAUAAUAAAUAGUGGAAAAGUGAUAGAAUGAUGAAACCAUCACUAUUAGUCUUUGUGUUCCACAUAGAAUCUAGGAAAAAUGAUAAUGAAAAUUUUAUGGUUGAUUUGCAAGCCUUUUUAGAUUUAAUGUGCUUAAGGGUAGUUUAACUUGUUUAACUCAUAUUUCCACAUUAAAAAUUGAUUCUGGGGUGAAUCCAACUCUCAUGAUUUUGUGUUGAUUGUCUUCUGUUGAUACCAUGACUAUUUCUCAACAAAUAAUUUUAAUCUUGCAAUUUCAUGCUUACUUUUGACUUAUCGUGCAAACUAGUUUUUCUCAUCAUCUUGUAUGACCUUGUACUGUUUAGCUAGAUUGUAUUGUUAACAAUUGAAUUCAUGCUUGUUUAGUUUAUCGUACAAUUAGUUAUCUCUUCAUUGUUUGCAUGUUUGGGUAUGGUGUAUAGCUAGAUUCAAUAGCUCUACUAUGCCUUGUCGUUCCACUUAAGAAACCUCUAACUAGAAUGUUAGGAUUUUUGUUCAUGACCAAAUCUGACUUUGGCCUUCUGCCCUUAUAAUCAUGCUAAAACAAUUGUAUAAAAAGGAAAACUAGGAAAUCACUUUUGCUAGUCUGCAUGCUUGAUUGAAAUCCUUAGUCAAAUAGUCAUACCUCAUAGUGGCAUGAGACUAGUCCUGUGUUUCCCUAAAACUUGUUUCUUUAUGUUAGAUUUAUGCUUGGUCUUGAAGAGGUAGUUUACUUUUUUCCUACAAAACUCAUAGGCAUAUCUAACUUAGUGUGUGCUUAGCUAAUUGUGAAACCAAAUCCCAAUUUUGUUUUUACGCUUGUCCUGUCUUUUUUAAAAAUAAUACCAAACGUGUUAUCUCAGGAUUUUCUUGGUAUUCAGUUUGUGUUCUUUUGCAACAUAUAGAUCAUUGCUGUUGUUUGGUUUCUAACUUCUUGCACUAUACAUCCUCCCAUGUUUCAUGCAUUCAUGAGCAUUAGCACUCAUAGCAUCAUCUCUAAUGUAUGCACACAUUUCAUUCUUUUAGAGAGAAAAUUUGCCAGAGAAUGGAACCUUUGAGACCAAAGUCGAGGCUGGCAUAAAAGUUGAUUUUGAGCUCGAAGAAAACCAAGGCAAGCCACUAAGCAUGUUUGUCGCCUACUUUUGAAAUGAAGUUGUUACUAUGGGUUGCAUGUGGGUGAUAAUAACUUAAUCUUGCAACUUGCUUAGUCAUGCUUAGUCAUAAAAUGAUCACUUAGUAAAAGAAACGGUCAUAGGUUAAUCAACACCUUUACUAAUAAGGUUCUUUAAGUUGUUUAAAAAUUUAGAAAUAGGAUAACUUUCCAAAUAAGUGUUAAGCAACCCUAAAGUGACCCCACCCUUCUUUUAUGAAGUUUAAAUAAUUUGAACUUUAGAUGUCUACACAAUCACCAUCAAAGUCAACUCCAAGUUUUAAAUCGCAACAUACCUUACUUGACAAGAAAAUAAAUGGUUAUAACCUUGUCUAAGUGAAUGUGGUCCAGUGUGAAUAUUCCGUUAAAAACCUUGAUUCUAGUGCAAAAUGAGCAAUAUGUAGAAUCCGAACAAGUAAUUGCGGAGAUUCGUGCCGGAACGUCCACUUUGCAUUUUAAAGAAAAGAUAAAAAAGCAUAUUUAUUCCAAAUCAGACGGGGAAAUGCACUGGAGUACUGAUGUUUACCAUGGCUUUUACAACGUUAAUGAAAUGCAACCUACACAUAAAAGCUUGUUUUGAAAUCUUGCAUUUGCAUCUCAUGUAGAAGCUAACUUCCCUGAUGGAACGUACGAGCUCGGCCUAGAAUGCGAAGCAAGAGGGUGUCUGAUGAGCUGAACAUAAUCAAGGCCCGAACCAAGUUCGGAAGAGCCCAAGGCUGAGUUAGGGCAAGAAGGCAAGCCCUGGAGCAUAACCCAGUUUUCUAAAUUUAUGCACUACUUAUUUUACUUAUGUUUGUGCAUUUAAGUUCACAGGAAUUGCUUGAAACCCUAGUUGCAUGAUUCUAGGCACUGAUGUGCUGAAUACUAGUAUGUUAAGAUGAGUAGUUGCAAUACUAAUUAGGGACUCGAUAAAAGUCGAGUGAUUUCCUGUCACUCGUGAGCUGUAGGAGUUGCCUGUUUACUUAUAUUGAAAUCAUAAGGAUUGACUGGCGGGGCUGAGCAAUUGGUCUGAAUUGGUCGACUGCCCCACCUGUCUAGAAGAAAGCUGCUAAGGCCGUAAUGUGUCAGUGUUCGUGGUCAAGUGUUUGAAAGUACUAAUCUCAUACCUAGUAUGGGAUAGGGGAGCCUAGUACCUGAUUGAACUGGGACGUGAGCGUACCUCCCCACUAUCUCUGGAACUUGGUUCCCUUGCUGCAGCAUGUGGUUACAAGGGCAGUCACAGUACAACGUCGUCCGGGAUCGUGGCGCAUUGUAUACCAAGGGAAGUGGGCCUGACCUCGUGCUUAGGGAUUGAUGGGGAUGGCUGACAAAUGAAGCGAACCCGUCGUGGUACAAGGAUGUCAUGGGGUUAGGUUCACCUUGUAAAGUUUAAAAACUCGAUUCGAACUCAUAGUUUGAGACUGCUUGAUCACUGUGCUACACUGAGUAAGAAGUGAAACAAAGGAUGAUGAAUAAUACUGAUGCUUGAUUAAAUUGUUUGUUCAACAUGCUUGCUUAGAAUAGGUGGUUAAACCAACUAGAACCUGCUGCUAAAUCUUAAAAGUAAGGACCUACUUUAGAAGCUUUUGGCAAAAUAAAACCCUCAACUAAAAACCUUGCAUGUCUAGGAGUCGGUGAAUUAGAUACCACCUGACGGGUAAAGUAUCCAUUCGCGUGUGAGGCCAUUUUAAUUCGAUUAAAGUGUCCAUUCGCGUGUGAGACUAUAUUGAGUACACUUUAGCCGCGCUAAUUUGGCUAGCCCUGGUGCCACAGCUGGUAUCAGAGCUAGUAUCUGAUGCCACAGCUAGUAUCAGAGCUCAAAAGCAUACCUAGAGAGAGCAACAAGCUCUAAACACUUUUUUGGAUAAAACUUGCAAGAAACUUAUUUUGAAUAAAAAAUCCAUAAGUUCGUAGUGCUUGUAGUGUUAUUAACAUGUUUACCAUGACUUAAUCAUGUACUUGUUUAAUUAUACGUAAAUUUAUUAUUUAUUAUUUAAUGGUGCUACAAAAAUAGAAAUAUUUAAUAUUUUAACCAUGCAAAAAUUAUUUCUUGUUUAAUAGGCUGAGAUUUGCUUAUAUAAUUGCAGGGAUUUGCUUAUAUCAUUCAAAAAAUCAAGAUGAUCGCGAUGUCAUUUUGCUGAACAAAUUGCUAUCAGGUAUUUAUUCAGAUAUGUUGGACGUAUACAUGGACACUUAGGAUAACAUUUUCUGGAAUUCAUGUUCUUAAUUACUUUCUCACGUAAAUGCAAACGAGCUUGGCUGCCUCUGUGAGGUCAACUUUGCGAGUUUCUGAGCCGAGGUCAACUUUGCGAGUUUCUGGGCUCAGGUGGAGGAGGCUGAGGUGUUCAUGGUAAGCACAUCGCACUCUAAUACGGCUGCGGCGAGAUCAUCAAGUACAUCAAGUACCCGAGGUGAGAUCAUCAAGUACAUCAAGUACCCAAGGCAAGAUCAUCAAGUACCCGAGGCGAGAUCAUCAAGUACAUCAAGUUUCUCGUGUAUCCCAUCAUUCUAGCUGUCAUCCAGAUGAAGAAGGAAUUUCCAAUGUUUACAAAAGAUCAUCCAGAUGAAGAAAGAAUUUCCAAUGUUUACAAAAGGGAAGAAAUGUAUAAAGUAUAAACAAGAUCUAACCAUUCAUAAUUAAGGGUAAUAUGGUAAUUACAAUAAUUCAUUUGUUGAUAACCAAAAACACAACAUAAUGGUUCAAUUACAUAACGCAACAUCAUCUAAUGGAACGUUAAUAACUCUCCUCUUGACGAACGUCCCUUGGUUGUGAUUGCGGCGUAAGUAUGGAGCAUCCUCUUUGGCUAACAGGCUGCUUGGGUCAACCUCGACUGAAAAUGGGAAAGAUCAUCAAACUGAUCGUAAUCUUCUGAAAUGUCAGUCUUGUCCUCAACUCCAACAAUUUUUCUUUUCCCUGGAAGAACUAUGUGACGCUUUGGCUGGUCAUCUGACUUAUUAGCACCCUUCCUUAUUGGUUUGCUUGACAUGUCCUUCACAUAGAAAACUUGAGUCACGUCAUUGGCUAGGACGAAUGGUUCUUCUCUGUAUCCAAUCUUGUUGAGGUCCACUAUUUUCAUCCCAUAGUUGUCCUCCAGUAAGUUUCACCCAUUGGCACCAAAAUAGAGGAAUUUUCAAAGGUCCAUAGUCAAGUUCCCAUAUCUCCUCAAUGACACCAUAGUAUCUAUCUUUUUUCUCCCAUUGUCGUCUAUUGCAUCGAUACGGACACCACUAUUUUGGUUUGUGCUCUUUUGAUCUCGGACUUUGGUGUAAAAUGUGUAUCAUUUAUCUCAUAUCCAUGGAAUGUUGAUACUGAGAUAGAUAGACCCCUAGCAAACCAUGCUAGUUGUUCUUCAAUCAUGUCAUCACCCAUCAAUCGUCGCCGCAACCAAGAGGCGGAAGUGUCAAUGUGAUGACGUGUAAUCCAGGCCUCAGUCUUCUCUUGGUUUGAGGACCGUACAUUAGCCCUAUGCUCCUUCAUAUAUGGAGCGAUCAGGGAUGAUUGCUGCAGGACCGUGAACUAUGUUUUACGAAAUGUAUUCUCAUUGAUGUCCAUCGGAGCUUUCCUCCCUAGUGUGCCCUUUCCCUUCAGUCUCCCCUCAUAGCAUGAUACAGGGACAACAAUCAAACUCAGGCCAUCCAUAAAGUCAACACAAAACUCAAUGACCUCCUCUGUUGCAUAUCCCUUUGCGAUGCUUCCUUUCGGACGGGCACGGUUAUGAACAUACUUUUUCAAAAUUUCCAUAAAUCUAUUGAAAGGGAACAUAUUGUGUAGAAAUACAAGAUCGAGGAUAAAAAUCUCUUCAACAAGGUGGACUAGAAGUUGGGUCAUGAUAUUAAAGAAGGAAGGUGGAAAGACCAUCUCAAAGCUUACAAGGCAUUGCACCACAUCAUUUUAAAGCUUUAGUAUAUUGUUUAGAUGGAUUGUCUUCUAAGAAAUCAUGUUGAGAAAUGCACAUAGCUUCACGAUUGCCAUUCUCACAUUCUCUGGUAGAAUACCCCUUAGUACAACAGGCAACAAUUGUGUCAUCAGGACGUGACAGUCAUGGAUCUUUAGAUUUAUGAAUUUCUUCUAUUUAAAAUUUAUUAUUGCCUUUAUAUUCGACGAGUAACCUGAUGGGACCUUGAUACUAUUCAAGCACUCAAACAUGCUUUCCUUCUCUUCCUUGCUGAGAGUGUAAAUGGCAGGAUGCAAGUAAUGCCCAUUACCUCUCUUUUCCGGAUGUAGGGCAUCUCGUUGUUUCUGUUUCAGGUCCCGACGUGCUUCAAUUGUAUCUUUUGCCUUUCCAUAUGUACCCAGGAAGCCAAGCACAUUCACACAAAGAUUUUUCAUCAGGUGCAUCACAUCAAUUGUAUUACGGACCUGAAGCACUUCCUAAUAAGGUAGCUCCCAAAAUAUAGACUUCUUCCACAUGGGUUCAUGUCCGUCCUCGCCGUUCGGAAUAGGUUGGCUACCAGAGCCCUUGCCAAAGACUACCCUCACAUCCUUAAUCAUAUAAAAUACAUGUUUACCAUUACGGUGAACGGGCUUAGUACGUUUUUCUUCCUCCCCUUCAAAAUGCUUCCCUUUCUUUCUUAACAGGUACUUAGCAGGAAGAAAUCGACAAUGGGCCGUAUACAUGACCUUCUUACAAUGUUUCAAAUACAUGCUGCAAUUAUCAUCUAAACAGUGCAUGUAGGCUCGGAAUCCCUUGUUUGAUUGUCCGGACAGAUUACCAAGUGCUGGCCAAUCAUUGAUGAUUAUGAACAACAAUGCUCAUAGAUUAAAAGUCUCCUUUUUAUUCUCAUCCCACACACGUACACCUUCUUCCUUCCAUAACAGUAGAAGUUCAUCAACCAAUGGUUUUGGGUAAACAUCAAUGUCGUUGCCAGGUUAUUUUGGGCCUUGGAUAAUUAUUGGCAUCAUAAUGAACUUUUGUUUCAUGCACAUCCAUGACGGAAGGUUGAACAUACACAAGGUCACAGGCCAAGUGCUAUGACCACCACUGAACUCUCCGAAUGGAUUGAAUCCAUCUGUACUUAAACCAAACCGUAUGUUCCUUGCAUCCUUUUCAAAAUUGAGAAAUUCUCUAUCAAUUGUUCUCCUCUGGAACCCAUCAGUGGGGUGUCUGAUCAUUUCAUCUUGCUUACGUUCUUCUUUGUGCCAACGCGUCAACUUUGCAUGUGCUUUGUUUCUGAACAAAUGCUUCAAUCGUGGUACUAUAGAGAAAUACCACAUUAAAUUCGCAGGAACUUUCUUCUUGAUGACCUCCCCUUCAACAUCACCGGGGUCAUCUCACUUGAUCUUAUAACGCAGCGCUUUGCACAUAGGACAAGCCUCCAAUUUCUCGUAUUCCUUACCGCGAUAGAGGAUAUAGUCAUUAGGACAUGCAUGUAUCUUUUGUACCUCCAAAUCCAGAGGGCAAACAACCUUUUUUGCUUCGUAUGUUGAGGAUGGCAAUUCGUUCCCCUCGAGAAGCAUGUUCUUGAUGAUUUUCAUUAACUCAUCAAAACCCUUGUUAGAAACUUCAUUUUUUACCUUCCAUUGCAGCAUUUCCAGUGUGGUACCUAAGUUUUUUGCCCCUAUUUGCAAUUUAGGUACAACAAUUUCUUAUGAUCAUCUAACAUACUCUCGAACAAUUUUAACUCCUUCACAUCUCGUAGUCUUCCGUUGCACCUCGCAAUACCUGACCUAUAUCAUCAAUAAGACCUUCUACCUUGCCCAUCUCUUCUUCAGCAUCGCCCAUUAGAGCAUCUGCAAAGGCAUUUCCUUGAAUUCAGUCAGGAAUGUUGUCAUAUUUUUCUUCAUCAUCAUCAUCCAUCUUAACUCCUCUUUCACCGUCUUUAGUCCGAAUAAAAUAGUUAGGCAUGAAUCCAUAACUGUAUAUGUGGGCAUGAAUAGUCUUUCUGGAUGAGUAAUACUUCUCAUUUUUGCAAUUUAUGCAUGGACAAAAACUGAAAUCGGAAGGCGGUUUGUUGGAUUCUGCCUGAUCGAGAAAACCACGCAAGCCAUUAAUGUACUCCAUGGAACGUUUGUCUGCAUUGUACAUCCAUUGCCGAUCUAUCUACAAAAUAUUACCGAACCAAAGAUAUUGUGAUCAUCCAUACAAUUAUAAAUGAAACAUAAAAAAUAUGAAAUAAAUAGCAUUAAACUGAAAUGUUGCUGAAAGUUUAGAUAGAAAAAUAUGAUUUUAUAUAAAUUCUAACUCCUUCAAGAAUUUUUUUAAGUUAACAUAAUUUUCUACAAUUUUUCUACAAUUUCCUAUACAAAAUGGUGCAUAUAUUUUAAAAAACAAAAAUGAGCUCUAAAUAACAAACGAAUUAGCUAGAGAAUAUAGAAAAAUUCUUGAACUAGUGAGAAAUGAACAUUAUUUCCUACAAUUUGAUAAUGUAAUUGCUAAAUUAACAUGAUGUAAUUUUUACUUAUUUUUAUAUAUUUCUAAGAACUAACAUGAUUUUAUAUAAAUUCUAGCUACUUCAAGAUUUUUUUUCUAAGUUAACGUGAUUUCCUACAAUUUCCUAUACAAAAUGGUAUACUAUCCAUAGAAAUAACACCUUCAUAUAAAUGAAAAAUUCUCCAUUGUACCUUAUUCUAAAAAUCACAAAUUACUUUAGCUCUAAAGCAUAAACUUAGUAUACUCUCCAUGUAUCAAGGUCACAAAUCCAGCAGCACCUCCCCAUAUUUCGCUAUGGAUAGGGUGAAGCUCGAGCUAGAGGAGAUGGCUCAGGCUGGAGUAAGAAGGAGGGGUAUUUAUAGGAUGGAAACUAUUACCGGUUGGGGGGCACCAACCGGUACUAAAGGGGGGGGGGGAAUUAGUACCGUUGGUGCCCAUCCCAGUUAGUUUAUUUGGUAUCUUUCCAAUUGGUAUAUUUCCAGCAACCUGUACACACACGUGAAUUAAUUUGUAUUGAUAAACAAUUUCCAAAUUACUCAAGUCACACGGUUGUAUAAACUCAAUUAAUUUCUCUAUCCAGCAAGUCACACAUGUGCAAAAUGGAAUUAUCCAGGAUCCAUAGACAUGGAUCCAUCCACGUCAAUCCCAAAUAAUGGCUGCAUCUGUAAUAAGUCAUAAAUCAUAUAUCGCAACAAGAACAGAGCACUACAAGAAGCUAAUACUAACUCUGAUUCUCUAGUGUUGUAGACCAUACAUCCCCGGACCCACUAGAAGGUCUGUACAGACCCACUCAAGAGGACGUACUCAAGACAUAUCAGGACAUGAAGACUACGCUACAGGGCAAUAUAGACUACAUGGAACUUCUGAAGGGCUAAUCGGAAUACAAAGAAAAUACUAUGCCGAGUUAGAGUAGGAUUCUAUAGUCUUGUCCGACUAGUACUCUUGUACUCAAAACUACCCUGUAACCCUGCUUCCCGGAUAUAUAAGGGCGGGCAGGAACCCCCACAAAAUAAGUUCAAUUGAAUACAAGCGUACAACACAUAGGACGUAGGGUAUUACGUGAUCUAGUGGUUCGAACCUGUCUAAAUCGUGUCCCUGCGUCACCAUCGACUCCUUAAUUUUGGCGACACCCACCAACCAAAACACUAUCUCAGGUACUCCCUUGAUAGGUUGCCGGGUUAAAACACCGAUAGCUGGCGCGCCAGGUAGGGGCGGUCGCCAAAAUUCUCCAUGAGAGAUCAAUGGCUACAGUCAUCAUCAAGCCUGCGUUCGUGUUCAAAGCGGGUGCAACGUUUGUUUUUGGCUCUUAGCUCUGCAUCACUGAUGGCAUUGGACGUUUCCAAUGCCACAUCAUCGAAGAACCGGGGAAGAAUCAUCUCGGCGGAAACUCUCAUCGACAGGAGGACGAAGAUUUCGUCGAGAAAUUCGAAUUUUUCAAUCUCAACAACACCGAGUUUGACUAUAGCUCGGACUCAACUACAACUCGGACUAGUCCGCGCGAGUAGGUAAUUCAGCCAUUGUGAGGACCGGAUACAACUUCAAGCCAAUUUCCGAUUGGACUGCGAAACAUGGUCACGAUUCAUCAAAAAACUCCAUCUAAAGUCUAGUCUGGAUUAGAGUCAAUUGAAGACUACAACUCCGACUCGAACUCUUUUGAAGAACUCCCCUUAUCAGGUUAACAACAUGGCCUGGUAAUCACAUCAACACCGCAAGGCAGAUUUGUCUACUGGCCGGGUAUGAAACCAUCAAUCCUUGCCCAAGACAAUGAAUCACGCCUCAUCACACAUUUGGAUAUCCUCCCAUAUCAAGAGGGUACUCCACUCUCACCGAUCCAUGAAGAAUAUAGCUCCGCUGAAGUCAUAACAUCCAGCUCUGGAAGCUACUCUCCGGAUAGAGAACUCUUUGUUGUGGUUUCACCAAUUGAUGGAACAGGAACCAGUGAUCACCACCAAAGAACUCCUCAUCGAGAACGCCAAAUGGAAGAAGUCCCCCAAGAUGAAUUAUCAGCUGACACCCCGAAGGGCGAAACUAGCAGCCAGAGAACUCAAAGAAGAGCAAGAAACAAUAAGAGGGCGGAACGUCGUAGACUUCUACCCGCAAGAGUUCCCAUUGUGAACCUUGACAGAGCAUUCGAAGCAGUUCAAACACGAGAACAUAACACACCACUUGCCUCGAUCAAUGCCUCCAAACAAAUACAACAAUCUUCUGUUAUAUUUGGCAGAACAUGCUUACAAACUCCUUGACAAAGAAAUGCCAAUCCCAUCCGUGCCUCACAACCCAAGUCACCAUGAUGAUAGCAGAGACAAUGCAAAACUCUCAAACCAACAACAUGAUGAAUCAAGACAACAUAGGGGCAUACUCGAAGCUCCAAGAUGAAAUAGAGAUGCAGCUGAGGGUAGUCGCACAGCCUCUGUGGAAGAACCACACCACCGCAGAGAAAAUUUGGAAUCUUCACACAUCAGUGAUCUUCGAGAAAUACUAAAUCACAAUCGUGAUGCUCGAGAUAUAAUCAUCAAUCGCCGUCGUGAACGUGAAGCUGAGGGUGAUGACAAUGACCAUUUGCCCGCUUUCACAAGACGAAUCAUGCAGACUAUUCUCUCAGAGAAAUUCAAACCAAUAGGCAUCACCAAAUAUGAUGGCAAACAAGACUCAGUUUGGUGGCUCCGAUGCUACGCAUUAGCAAUCCAAGGUGCGGGCGAAAGCGAUGAUACAAAAGUCAUUCACUUUCCCGUAUGCAUAGAACUAGCGCCACUAACUUGGCUCGAAUCUUUGAAGCCUAACUCCAUCGACUCAUGGUCUAAUCUAAAGAAAGCUUUUACAAGCAACUAUGUGGGAGCUAUGCAGCAUCCCGGCAACAGAAUUGACUCGGCUCAGAUGAAGCAGCAAAAGGAUGAGUCCCUGCGCAACUACCUACACGCUUUUUCGAUAAAAAAGCUAUAAUUGUUGAUAUUUCAGAGGCAGAUGUGAUUGAAUGUUUUCAAAAUAGUCUCUGGGACCGCCGCAUGUUCCAAGACUUUGGCAAACACCGGCCAGCGGAUGUCAAAGAACUCAAAAUUAUGGCUCGGUCAUGGGCAGACGAAGAAGACAAAGAGCGUGAAAGGUUUAAGUUACACCGCAAUCGCGGACGUGCCAACAAUAACCAAAGCAACAAUCAAGAACAAGACAGAAACCGCAACGGUGAUCACCAAAGCAACUACUUGGGCAAUUAGAAUCGUAAGCACAAACCAGACAAUACCAUUGCAGCAAUGUCAAAUUCAAGCAAGAAAGGACCGAAUAAACGAAAUGAUGACCCCUCAUUCAAUGAACUACUCAAGAAACAAUACCCAUGACACUCGCGCAGCAAGCAUGCAGCAAUAGACUGCUACAACCUUCACAAGAGUUAUGCAAGAAUUGCCAGAACCUCCCGCCAACAACAAUACAAUAAUAAUAGUAAGGACAAAGGCAAGGGAAAGAUGGAUGAAACUGAAGAUGGCAAAGACAAGUUCCAGACAGCAUCUAAGACCGUCAACGUCAUCUUCGGUGGAAUUCCAGGCACUACCUCCAAACCAUCCAAUAAAUUAGUACUCAAAGAAAUUAUGGCUAUAGAACCAGCCACCCCUACACCUCUCAAAUGGACUGAGGCACCUAUUACCUUCAGCAGAAAGGAUCAAUGGACCAACUUCUCAGAACCAGGAUGUUUCCCUCUAGUACUAGACCAAGUUGUCGCAGGCUCAAGACUAACCAAAGUACUCAUCGACGGUGGCAGUGGACUCAGCGUCAUUUUCGCCAAGACUCUAAGAAGGAUGGGUCUCGACAUCACCAACAUGCUUACCCCAAUAGAUUCUCCCUUCUAUGGAAUCAUCCCAGGCAACACAGCCAUUCCACUAGGACAAGUUGUCUUACCUGUCACUUUCGAUACCAAAGAGCAUUACCUCAUAGAGUACAUCAAAUUCGAGGUGGCUGACAUCGAGACUUCUUACCAUGCCAUCCUCGGAAGACCGAAAGGAGAACAUCUCUUCGAGGAGAUCUGUGACGAUCAUGUGAAUGUGACACAGAAACUGUUGAGAUAGCUGCAACUACUCAAGUUCCCAGCUCCAUGCAACAAGUGUUCACCGCAUCAAAGAAGCUUACCUCGGCAGAACUCGAAAUCCCAGAAAACAAGCCAGGAGCUACUAAAGUCAAGCCAGCAAACAACAAAGAUUUCAAAUCCAUCGACCUCGAAACUGGCGACUCAUCCAAAACUGCCCUGAUCAGAAUAGGGCUCGAUCCCAAAUAGGAAAGCACGCUUGUCGGUUUCCUUUGAGCAAAUCGAGACAUCUUCGCAUGGAAACCAGCUGACAUGCCAAGUAUGCCCAAGGAACUGAUCGAGCAUUCACUCAACAUCGAUCCCAAAGCUACUCCAAAAAGACAACGACUACGAUUCGCUCAAGAUAGAAGAGAUGCGAUUAAAAAAAACUAGCCAAAUUACUCGCAGCAGGGUUUACAAAGGAAGUUUUCCACCCUAAUUGGUUAGCGAUCCUAUUUUAGUUCGAAAGAAGAACAACAACAAGUGGAGGAUGUGUGUCAACUACACAGACCUCAACAAACAUUACCCCAAAGAUCCCUUUGGGCUUCCCAGAAUCAACCAACUAGUCGACUCCACAGCCGGAUGCGCACUACUUUGUUUUCUUGAUUGUUACUCGGGAUAUCAUAAGAUAGCUCUCAAGGAAUAAGAUCAAGCCAAGACCGCAUUCAUCACCCCUUUUGGAGCAUUCUACUACAAGACAAUUUCCUUUGGGUUGAAGAACGUUGGUGCAACUUAUCAACGUGCAAUUCAAAUGUGCUUCGAGAAACAACUACACCCUGCAAUGUGGAAGCCUACGUGGAUGAUGUAGUAGUCAAAACCAGAAAUCCAGAUGAUUUAAUCGCAGAUUUAGAAGAAACUUUCACAAGCCUGCGAGCGUUCCGAUGGAAACUAAAUCCUACCAAGUGCGUUUUCGACGUACCUUUGGGAAAAUUACUCGGGUUCAUCAUCAGUCAUCGAGGCAUCAAAGCAAACCUUGAGAAAAUCUCCACCAUUACUAACAUGCAAGCUCCAUCUGGCAUAAAAGACGUUCAGAAACUUAUAGGCUGCAUGGCGGCUCUAAAUAGAUUCAUAUCAAGACUUGGAGAACGGGGUUUACCUUUCUUCAAAUUACUCAAAUGACAAGAAAAAUUUCAAUGGACAGAGGAGGCAAAAAAAGCUCUAUUACAACUGAAAGAUUUCCUGUCAAAGCCACCAAUCCUCACAGCUCCAACUCCAAACGAAGAUUUGCUCUUGUACAUCGCUACAACUACUCAUGUUGUCAUCACAGGAAUAGUAGUCGAAAGAACUGAGCCAGGCCACGUCUACAAAGUCCAGAGACUAGUAUACUUUGUCAGCGAAGUACUCUCGGAUUUCAAGACAUGGUAUCCACCGAUCCAGAAGCUACUCUACGCCAUACUACUCACUUCGCGGAAACGCCGACACUACUUCCAGGAACACAACAUAUCCGUCAUCACUGACUUCCUGCUCGGUGAAAUCCUCCACAAUUUGGACGCCACAGGCAGAAUCUCAAAGUGGGCAGUAGAACUCAGAGCAUUGACCUUGGAAGUCAAACCCAGAACAACAAUUAAAUCCCAAGCUCUAGUCAACUUCAUGGCUGAGUGGAGGGAAAAUCAAUUGCCUACACCAAUAGAAUGCCCUGAACACCAGGGCAUGUACUUUGACAGAUCUCUUAAGCUUGAGGGAGCCGGCGUAGGAGUACUCCUAAUAUCUCCAAAAGGCAAACAACUCAAGUACAUUCUUCAAAUCUUUUGGGAAGCAUCAAAUAAUAAAGCCGAGUACGAAGCACUUCUACACGGUCUUCGCCUAGAAAUUUCACUAGGCAUCAAAAGAUUACUAGUCUAUGGUGACUCAUUAGUAGUCAUCAAUUAGUCAACGACGAGUGGGAUUGCAACAAGGAAAAUAUGGAUGCAUACUGCUGGGAAGUCCGCAAACUAGAGAACAAGUUCUUAGGUCUCGAAUUUCACCACGUGGUCUGCGACAACAAUGUUGUUGCUGAUGUUUUAUCCAAAAUGGGAUCAACACGCGCGGAAGUCCUAGCAGGCAUCUUUGUUCACAAACUUCACAAGCCAUCCAUAUAGAACAAGAAACUCCAGCAACCACUAGCAAGGGUCCAUCAGACCGGGAGAUCAUGAUGAUCGAGGUAGACUGGAGGACUCCUUUUAUCGACUACAUUAAAGAGCACAAGUUACCUCCGACAAGACGCAAGCAGAACAAGUCUCACGACGCGCCAAAAGCUAUGCUCUAGUUGGAGAUAAACUCUACAGAAGAGGAGCAUCCUCGGGAGUACUCAUGGAAUGCGUUACUCGCGAAGACGGCAAAGAUAUCUUGGAGGAAAUACACAAAGGAAUUUACGGCAACCACGCAUCCUCAAGAACAUUAGUAGGCAAAGCCUUCAAAGCGGGAUUUUAUUGGCGGCAAAUGCAGCGGAACUAGUCCGCAAAUGUCAAGGCUGCUAGUUUUUUUGCCAAACAACAUGUUCCUGCUUAUAAACUCAUCACCAUACCUCCAACAUGGCCUUUCGCUGUGUGUUUUAGUUAACACACAAGGAAAUGACUCAUUUAGUCAUUUCCCUGUGUUUCAUAUCAAUUUCCUUGUGUGUUUUAUCUAACCCACGGAGAAAUGUGCAUCAUGUCAAUUUCCCUGUGUGUUAUACCUAACCCACAAGAAAAUGAGGAAUUUCCCUGUGGAUUUUGGUAUUUGCCUGUGUGUUCUUUUGGAAUCGACAAGGAAAUGUGAAUUCCCCUGUGUGUGCACGAAAAAAAUCCUCAUGGAAAUUUGGCACACACAAGGAAAUUAAUUCGGGUUUCCAGUAGUGUAAUAACCCUGUAUUUUUACAUCAACACGACAUACAUAGAAUUGAAUAAUUAAGGUCCUGUUUGUUUGAGUUUUAGCUUUCCAAGCUUUCCAGAAAGCUGGCUUUUGGUUUUUGCUCCCUGGAAGGGUGGCUUUCCAAAAGCUAGCUUUGGGAAAGCUAACACUGUUUGGCAACCUAGCUUUUGGAAUGGUAUGAUGGAGUGUCUGUUCUGUGGGAUCCACAUGUCAGGCUUUUCUUCAACCUUGCUCGAUAGACGGAAGGCAAGACUGACGGGGAGAGGGAAGGGGUGGGGGCGGCUGGAGGUGAGACCGACAGGGGAGGGGGUGCCAGGGAGCUCCGCGCUCCUACGGCAGUGCAGCGCCGGGCGCCAGAGGGACUGAGGAGUGGCAGCGGUGGGCAAGAUUUGGCGGGAAGGAGGGGUGCUGCGCCGGUGGGGGAGAUUUGGAGUGGAGGUGCUCCCCUGCGGCCCCACCCCCUCCCCCGCACUCCUUCGCACUAGCUUGGAGGGAGACGGCUCCUCCUGCGGUCCUGCCGGAAGGGAGGACUCGACAAGGCGGGGCAGGUGUCCGAAACAGAUCACCAAAUCCCACGCGGGCAGUUGAGAGAUCCGAGCCCGCCACGAUCCAUGGUGGCCAACGCAGCGGCCGGUGUAGCGACGCGCCUCAUACUCAUCCUCCUCGCUGCCUUCCUCGGCACGGUGCCGCAUGGGGCGGACGCGCUACGGUCGCUCAACGUCGAGGGCGCGGGCGGGGCUGACGGCGCCAACGACGACGGCACCGUGGACCUCGACACCGGCAACUUCACCGCCUUCCUCCAGGCCUCGCCGGAGUCGUUCGCGGUCGUCGAGUUCUUCACCCACUGGUCGGCCGCUCCGCGCCGGCUUGGGCGCCACAAGACCGGAGGAGAUGGAGACGACACAUAUGGAGAUGGAAGGAAACAAAAAUGGCUGGUUCACACCAUAAACAAUGGCAGGUGGGUAAUUUUCGCGACCUUGACAUAGAAAAGCUGCGGAAAGCUCACAUUUCACAGCUUCUGGACUUUUGGCUUUCGAAAAGCUCAACCUAGAAACUGGCUAUUUAUUUGAGCUUUCGGCUUCUUAGGGUGGAAAGCUACUUGAAAGUCCAAACAAACAGUGCCUAAGUUUACACCUUUAUUACAGACGACACUGCACUACUAGCAGCUAGGCACUGUGGAGAUGUAGCUAGAGUAGAGAACAUGCAAGGUGGUAUGAGCCGAUGAACGACGACUGAUACAUUACAUAGACAUGCAUUAUGUUCCCCCCUUACGCUGCGACGAUGGACCACUGACGCUAUGUCAGUGAUGAAUGAUCACUGACAUGUGUUAUUAGCAACCACAUCACGUCGUGCGAUAACGUUAAUAACGUCAGAGGAACCACUUCAUCCCUUACGCCGACGAGAGGCCAGCAUAUUUCUUGGCCCACAAGAUGUGCCCGUACGGCAGGACGUGGCACACCGGCGGCCCGCCAGGCUUGGUGCCGAGGAACCUGAAGGCGACGUGAUCCUUGUCCCACUCCGACGUGUCGGUGUGGCAGACGGAGAACAAGGUGACUUUGUCACCACCGGCGCCCUCCAUCUCCACCUUGUACGCCCGGACCGGGCCGGUGUUGUGGCACAUGUACACGGUGUACGGGUACUCCUUCUGGUGGCACCCCACGAAGCUGGAGCCCUGGACGGGGCGCACGGCACGGACGGUGUACGGCUGCAGCGGCGACCGGGCACGGGGCACCUGGAGAUCAUCUCGGUAAUGCUCCUGGUGCCGAGCACCCCCUGGGCACCCUCGACCAGGGCCUCCAGUGAGGUGGCGCAGAACUUGGCCUCCCACUCGAGGCCCGGGUCCUCGCACAUGCCCAGCGUCUCCUCCAUCUUGGCCGACUAGGCGGAGCCCUCAGCGACGUUGAACUGGGCGAGGACGCCCGGGAGGGUGGAGGAGGAGAAGGGGAUGGC
rnacentral:lncRNA from 1 species